rnacentral:rRNA from 1 species
GACGAACCGUGCGAACGUUGUUCGGAUUCACUGGGCUUAAAGGGCGCGUAGGUGGCCAACUAAGUCAGACGUGAAAUCCCUCGGCUUAACCGGGGAACUGCGUCUGAUACUGGAUGGCUUGAGUUUGGGAGAGGGAUGCGGAAUUCCAGGUGUAGCGGUGAAAUGCGUAGAUAUCUGGAGGAACACCGGUGGCGAAGGCGGCAUCCUGGACCAACACUGACACUGAGGAGCGAAAGCCAGGGGAGCAAACGGG